UACGAAGGGGGCUAGCGUUGCUCGGAAUCACUGGGCGUAAAGCGCACGUAGGCGGAUUGUUAAGUCAGGGGUGAAAUCCUGGAGCUCAACUCCAGAACUGCCCUUGAUACUGACGGUCUCGAGUCCGGGAGAGGUGAGUGGAACUGCGAGUGUAGAGGUGAAAUUCGUAGAUAUUCGCAAGAACACCAGUGGCGAAGGCGGACUUCUGGCCUGUUCUUGACUGCUGAGGCGGCGGAA
rnacentral:rRNA from 1 species